GUUAUGAUCGAUGAAGCACGUG
rnacentral:miRNA from 1 species